AUCUAUGGCCAUAUCACCCUGAACACUCCACAGAUGGAACACGCUCCAUCUCAUCUGAUCUUAGAAGCUAAGCAGAGUUAAGCCUGGCUGGUACUUGAAUAGGAGAAAGUUGAUCAUCUUGGAAA
rnacentral:rRNA from 1 species